rfam:Zea mays cultivar B73 chromosome 5, whole genome shotgun sequence.
GUUGCUUCUAUUCUUUACACAAUAAGGAGUGACCAUCCCAGUAUGGUCAUUUGUCAAGAGGAAGCAUACAAUCGACUUGGCCAGUAUUAAACAGCAUUGCACAUUUUUCUGCUGUGCAGUGUUACCUGUCUCCUGGCACAUGU